UACGUAGGGGGCAAGCGUUGUCCGGAAUCAUUGGGCGUAAAGAGCGUGUAGGCGGCCAGAUAAGUCCGCUGUGAAAUCUCGAGGCUCAACUUCGAGCUGUCGGUGGAAACUAUCUGGCUAGAGUCCGGAAGAGGAGAAUGGAAUUCCUGGUGUAGCGGUGAAAUGCGCAGAUAUCAGGAAGAACACCCGUGGCGAAGGCGGUUCUCUGGGACGGUACUGACGCUGAGACGCGAAAGCGUGGGGAGCGAACAGG
rnacentral:rRNA from 1 species